rnacentral:ncRNA from 19 species
AAAAUUCUUCAGGGCAGGGUGAAAUUCCCUACCGGCGGUAAAGCCCGCGAGCUAGUUUAGCAUGAUUCGGUGAAAUUCCGAGGCCGACAGUAAAGUCUGGAUGAAAGAAGAAUAUC